AACGAACGCUGGCGGCAUGCCUAACACAUGCAAGUCGAACGAGACCUUCGGGUCUAGUGGCGCACGGGUGCGUAACGCGUGGGAACCUGCCCUUAGGUUCGGAAUAACUCCCCGAAAGGGGUGCUAAUACCGGAUAAUGUCUUUGGACCAAAGAUUUAUCGCCUUUGGAUGGGCCCGCGUUGGAUUAGCUAGUUGGUAGGGUAAAAGCCUACCAAGGCGACGAUCCAUAGCUGGUCUGAGAGGAUGAUCAGCCACACUGGGACUGAGACACGGCCCAGACUCCUACGGGAGGCAGCAGUGGGGAAUAUUGGACAAUGGGCGAAAGCCUGAUCCAGCAAUGCCGCGUGAGUGAUGAAGGCCUUAGGGUUGUAAAGCUCUUUUACCCGGGAAGAUAAUGACGGUACCGGGAGAAGAAGCUCCGGCUAACUCCGUG
rnacentral:rRNA from 1 species